AUGCAGUCGAGGGAGACCCCGCAAGGGGGGACACCGGCGAACGGGGUAGGAUCACCUCGGUGACGUACCCUCAGGACGGGGAUAGCGGCGGGAAACUGCCGGUAAUACCCGAUGACCUGGCGGGCUUUUAAGGCCUGUCAGCAAAGGUGAGAUUCCGCCUGAGGAGCGGCUGAGGCGCUAUUAGCUUGUUGGUGAGGUCACGGCUCACCAAGGCGACGAUGGCUAGGGGGUGUGAGAGCAUGGCCCCCACCACUGGCACUGAGACACUGGCCAGACACCUACGGGUGGCUGCAGUCGAGAAUCUUCGGCAAUGGACGCAAGUCUGACCGAGCGACGCCGCGUGCGGGAUGAAGGUCUUCGGAUUGUAAACCGCUGUCGGGAGGGAUGAAGUGCCGGAAAGCUAUCUUUCCGGUUUGACAGAGCUCCAGAGGAAGCACGGGCUAAGUUCGCGCCAGCAGCCGCGGUAAUACGAACUGUGCGAACGUUAUUCGGAAUCACUGGGCUUAAAGGGUGCGUAGCGGUUUGUUAAGUCAGUGUGAAAUCCCCCGGCUCAACCGGGGAACAGCGCUUGAAACUGGCAGACUGGAGUGAGGCAGGGGUGUGCGGAACUUCCAGUGGAGCGGUGAAAUGUGUAGAUAUUGGAAGGAACGCCGGCGGCGAAAGCGGCACACUGGGCCUUGUCUGACGCUGAGCACGAAAGCUAGGGAGUGAACGGGAUUAGAUACCCCGGUAAUCCUAGCCGUAAACACUGAGCACUGGAGGGGGGGGGGCGGUUCCGGCCUUCC
rnacentral:rRNA from 1 species